CAGUCGCCGCGGUAAUACGAACCGUGUGAACGUUAUUCGGAAUUACUGGGCUUAAAGCGCGUGUAGGCGGGCCGCCACGUCGGUUGCUGAAAUCCCCCGGCUCAACCGGGGAAGUGGCAUCGAUACGAGCGGCCUUGAGGGGGGUAGGGGGAUCUGGAACUUCCGGUGGAGCGGUGAAAUGCGUUGAGAUCGGAAGGAACGCCCGUGGCGAAAGCGAGGUCCUGGACCCUUUCUGACGCUGAGACGCGAAAGCCAGGGGAGCGAACGGGAUUAGAUACCCCUGUAGUCCCUGUCUCUUAUA
rnacentral:rRNA from 1 species